UAUACAUACAGUAUUAGAUUAGGUGGGUAUACAUACAGUAUUAGAUGAGGUGGGUAUACAUACAGUAUUAGAUUAGGUGGGUAUACAUACAGUAUUAGAUUAGGUGGGUAUACAUACAGUAUUAGAUUAGGUGGGUAUACAUACAGUAUUAGAUUAGGUGGGUAUACAUACAGUAUUAGAUGAGGUGGGUAUACAUACAGUAUUAGAUUAGGUGGGUAUACAUACAGUAUUAGAUGAGGUGGGUAUACAUAUAGUAUUAGAUUAGGUGGGUAUACAUACAGUAUUAGAUGAGGUGGGUAUACAUAUAGUAUUAGAUUAGGUGGGUAUACAUACAGUAUUAGAUUAGGUGGGUAUACAUACAGUAUUAGAUUAGGUGGGUAUACAUGCAGUAUUAGAUUAGGUGGGUAUACAUGCAGUAUUAGAUUAGGUGGGUAUACAUGCAGUAUUAGAUUAGGUGGGUAUACAUGCAGUAUUAGAUUAGGUGGGUAUACAUACAGAAUGAAAGAAGACGUAGGUGUUUAGACGGGGGUACCGCCUGUUACACAGUAUCUCCUUCUAUAGCUCUGUCUCAGUCCCCGCUCUCUUCUCUGUCCCUAAGGACAAUGUUUAUAGCUGCUUGAUCUCCCAAGUGGCUGUCUGUUUUUCUCUCCUCCCUCCCUCUUCUUUUUUUUUUGUUGUUGUCAACCAACACUCCAUCAUCUUGGUCUCCACUCCUGCCGUCUUCACACUAUCGUUCUUCCCCUCUGUUUCCCUUUCUUAUCCACCCUCCUCUCCGGUUCUCCC